AGAGUUUUGAUCAUGGCUCAGGAUGAAUGCUGGCGGCGUGCCUAAUACAUGCAAGUCGAGCGGUAACAGGGGUCUCACCGUUUCCUUGACACACCUAGCGCUAUUUUCGUAGGUUGAUGACUUCGAGGGAACAGUGAGACCCCGCUGACGAGCGGCGGACGGCUGAGUAACGCGUGGGAACGGACCCCAAACUGAGGGAUAACGCAUCGAAAGGUGUGCUAAUACCGCAUGUGAUCUUCGGAUUAAAGUCUUCGGACGGUUUGGGACUGGCCUGCGUACGAUUAGAUAGUUGGUAGGGUAAUGGCCUACCAAGUCGACGAUCGUUAGAUGGUUUGAGAAGAUGAUCAUCCAGACUGGGACUGAGACACGGCCCAGACUCC
rnacentral:rRNA from 1 species